rnacentral:rRNA from 1 species
GACAGAGGGUGCAAACGUUGCUCGGAAUUACUGGGCGUAAAGCGCGUGUAGGCGGACCGGAAAGUCGGGCGUGAAAGCCCUAGGCUCAACCUAGGAACUGCACUCGAAACUUCCGGCCUUGAGUGGUGGAGAGGGAAGUGGAAUUCCUGGUGUAGAGGUGAAAUUCGUAGAUAUCGGGAGGAACACCAGUGGCGAAGGCGGCGACCUGGGCCAAUAUUGACGCUGAGGUGCGAAAGCGUGGGGAGCAAACAGG